UCAGCCACACAAGAAGGUAAGCUCAAUGCAAGCAAGAACUUUGUGUUUUCACUUGCACACAUCCAUCUCUUAAAGAAGUGCCUGGCUCAGGGUUGGAACUCAAUUAUUUCCAAAAUAAGUCAAUGAAUGAAUAUCUUUUAUGCAAAAAAUUCAUCUAAAAACAGCAGUUUUGUUUAGUUAAUUUCAAUAAAGAACUAGUAAUACAGUCUUCCAUUUGUGGAUGUCAUUAAAAAUGGAAUUUUUAAACUUGAAUUUUGUGUCUCCUUUACAGGCAAUGUCAUGAUUGUUAGACGUUAUUCCAUUUCCUCACCGAUUCAUUCAUCAACUACAAGUGACCCUUGGAAGACUAGGAGAAGACAUCCAAACUGUGGAAUUCUAGAAGUUCAAGGGAUGGUCAAAUCACUGGCUUCUUCAGUUAAGAAACAAGACAAUGAAGAAAAGAUGUUUACCUCGGAUUCUUUCACUACCAAUGGUUGCAGCAAAGGAGUCUUUCCUGAGCAUGAUUUUGGUUACAGGGACAAGAUAAAGACAGUUGGUUUCCUGUUACCCAUGAACAUGUCUUCAUACUCCAAAGAUUCAAGUUCUUUGAAAUACUCACCAAACCAGCUAAGUACUAUUAUAGAAUAGGAUACUCAAGGUGGUGAAAUUUAAGACACAGAUGUGAGAACACUGAGACGUGGUUGGGUCAGUGUCCCCCCCCGCAAAAAGCUCUGAGAAGAUACUCACUAAGGGCUUUCAAUAGCUGAGUCCAAGAUCUCUCUUAGUAAAUGUUGCACUGCACUUGAAAAUAUGUGGGUUAUUGUCAAAUAUCUUUUGAUAUUGAUUUCUAAUAUAACUCCACAGUGAUAAGGGCACAGACUCGGUAUGGUUUCAAUAGCUUUGGGCUGUGAAGUUUUUGCACCUUGUUUUAUGUCUGUGGAUCUGUUCCAGGGUCUCCUAGUUUACAGCCUAUGGAAACCUGAAUAGAAGUAAGUUCCGCCUGUCGUGUGAAAAUUGUAUAAAUCUUAAUUAUGUUGAAUUGGUUCACAGUGCUUUAGGGUCUACUAUAUCUUUCUACUUCUCUGCAUGUUCAUUCUAUUAAUUUUUGAGAGUUUGAUAUUGAAACUCCAAUUUAAAAAUCUUCAUUUAUCUACUUUUAAAAAUAACUGUAAUUUGUAGUGGAAAUAUAUUGGAAUAUAGUGGAAAUAAACUUGUUCUGUAUUUUCCAAGUCUCCCAUAAAUGUGUUAUCAUACUUUCAUUAUUUAAAAAAGAAAAAUAAAAAGAUGUUCACUAAGACACAUAAAAUACCCAGCGUUGGCUUAAUGGAAUUGUCAAAGGACCUGAGCAAGAAAUGGAAGUCAUUACUUCAUGUUGUCACUGAAUAUUAAUGAUGUGUGCACAGUGGCUGUGGUAGUCCCUCUAUGCAGCCUCUGAGCAAAUAAAUAAAAUUAAAUUAAAUUGCUUGCUAAGUGUUCAGUAUCUGUGUAAUUCUUCUGUUCCCAUUAUGGGUCACUCUCCAGAUGAAACUAUAACACAUCUAGGAAAAAAAUUCUAUAUCUGGCUAAUAACAUAGAAGCCAUAGUGAUU
rnacentral:lncRNA from 1 species